UGGGGAAUUUUGGACAAUGGGCGAAAGCCUGAUCCAGCAAUGCCGCGUGUGUGAAGAAGGCCUUCGGGUUGUAAAGCACUUUUGUCCGGAAAGAAAUCCUUGGCUCUAAUACAGUCGGGGGAUGACGGUACCGGAAGAAUAAGCACCGGCUAACUACGUGCCAGCAGCCGCGGUAAUACGUAGGGUGCAAGCGUUAAUCGGAAUUACUGGGCGUAAAGCGUGCGCAGGCGGUUUGCUAAGACCGAUGUGAAAAUCCCCGGGCUCAACCUGGGAACUGCAUUGGUGACUGGCAGGCUAGAGUAUGGCAGAGGGGGGUAGAAUUCCACGUGUAGCAGUGAAAUGCGUAGAGAUGUGGAGGAAUACCGAUGGCGAAGGCAGCCCCCUGGGCCAAAUACUGACGCUCAUGCACGAAAAGCGUGGGGAGCAAAACAGGAUUAGAUACCCUGGUAGUCCACGCCCUAAAACGAUGUCAACUAGUUGUUGGGGAUUCAUUUCCUUAGUAACGUAGCUAACGCGUGAAGUUGACCGCCUGGGGAGUACGGUCGCAAGAUUAAAAACUCAAAGGAAUUGACGGGGUCAUAGCUGUUUCCU
rnacentral:rRNA from 1 species